rnacentral:lncRNA from 1 species
UGAGUUUGUUUUGACGUUAUGAAGAGCAAAAACUCGGUCCAUCUUGUCAGAAGGCCAAGAAGACAGUGGAAAGCACUUGUUGGAUUUCUUAUACUUGAGAGGUACUGAUGCCAGCUUGGAUGGUGAGUUUAUUUGCAUCUCUGAGCAAAUAUUUUGUACUUGCAGUAUGGUCCUGCUGUCUGCAUGUGCUUCUGUGCAUGUUUGUGCAUGUGUUCAUUUGGAUUUGAGUGCUUAAUUGGAUUUAUGAUGCACCGCUGAGCGAAACGGCGCCAUCUCCGCGGCUGACGUCUACGUCAGUGCUGGGUUUGGACCCAUUUCCCUCUCACAGCCCAUCUGUACCUCUCAUCCUCUCCAAAAGCCAUUAUAAUCCCACCAAUCCCACAGCCUCUCACCAUGACUGCCUACUCUCUGGCAGCCCUGCCCUCCACAUUAGGAUUUGGAAGCGGGCUGGAGGCUCCUUUUCCCCCCAUUACCAUCUUUGAGAGAGCUGAUUCUCUGCUGUCAGCAUGCCGUCUUCUCGUCUCUGUUGGUAAAUGCAUUAGCUGUUCAGAUGCUAGGGCAGAGGGUGCUAGCUUCAGGGAGAUGGGUGGUAAUUCAGUCACAAGCCAUACCGGAAGAGGAUGUUUUUAUUGGUUCUGGGGGAGCUCUCUUAGCUUUUGUCCUCACUCAUGCACUAUUCUUUAAAAAAGCAUUUUAAGUGAAGAAAAAUGACGGAUGGUUUUUUUUUGUAAAAUAUGAUCUCACAGCCGAGACUGAAGAGCAGGAAGGGAAAACUCAAACUAAAGUGAUGGAGGAAAAAUUAAUCUCUUUCUUAUUCUAAAGAAAUCUCUUUUUUUUUCAUAUCCCUGACCAGAUGUGGGGAGUCACAGGUCACAAAUGUCUAAAUGUUGCAUACUUAGUUCAUUUUGGAGAAUAACUAGAACUCCAGUUCCACAAUCGAUGGGAUGGUGUUAGGUCACAGCUGACCUAUUAUCCGAGGUUUCGCCUCAAGCCAGCAGCCUGGGUUUGAUUUCAGCCUGUAGCUCCUUUUUUUAUAAGUGACUCCCUGCUCUCUAUCCCUGUUUCCUGCCCUGUCCACUAUCUUUACUUCGUUAAAUGAGGUCAAAAAAAUAAGAAUAGAAAAACUGAAAAAUGAUCCACCAAAUGUUUUCAGGGAGGCCAGUUUAGCACCAACUUUUCUACUCCAGAGUCAUGCUGUAGUAAUUCAAGCUGAAUUUGGUUUGGUGAGAUAUCUAAGGUCUCCCUUACCCAGGAUUUCCAUUGCAUCUGGAACAACUCUGGAGUGGAGCGAUUUUCUGCCAAUUCCUAUCAGAUCCGUUUGUGAGACGCAUUUCAUGGUGGACGACGGACAGCGGGAAUCACAAGAACUCGCGUAUUCACAUGCAAUCGCGCGAUAACAACCUGUCUUUAGCCACAUAGGCUAACCAUUCAAGCAGUAGAUCGUGUCCGUCUAGAAGAGGAAAUCUACUUCUAGACUUAUAAAAUCAGCAUCCUCUCAUCCACGGUGUCAUCCGGAUGAAAUACUGUCUAGAAACCUUUCACUUGUUCGUCUCCGCCCGUUUGCAUGGUGUGAAAUACAAUCUGCCUGAAACACGGAGUGUUUUAUUUUGAAAAGACGCUGGAUGAUUUAUUUUGUGUCUGUGCCCGACUUCCUUUCCAGCACGGGUUAAUCUGUGCUGAAUUUAUCCGGCAUGCUCCAGCGUCCAGAAAAAAUAGAACUCUUGCGAUCAGCUGUGGAGUCUGUCGAUCCACAGCAGAACGGAAGCCGGUGGAAAUUGACACAUUAACUUAAAUGGUUUUAAUCAGCUACGAUCAGCGGAUACAGCCUUUUUGUAGCUGUUCCAAAUGCUGUGUAAAUUGCUGGUUAAAGCACAUGUUGAUUGAUGUGCUGACCUGUCUAUAUAUCAUUCAGCAAUAAUGGUGCUUUCCCAGAUGAGUAAGCUACCAAUGCCAUGGGUACUUCUGUAUAAAUGGCACUUUUUUCAUCCCAGAUGCUGACUUUUGAACUUUGCGCUGUUAAAAACACAGACGGUCUCCUCUUUUUUAGAGUGGAGGGCGUAGGGUUCAUGAUUUCCAAAAGAAAUAGUCAGACUUUGAUUUUUCAGACCACAGGACAGUUUUUCACUUCCCCACAGUGAUUUCCACUUCAGAGCCAUCCCUGUGGGCUGAAAGGUCAAGGCCGUGCAUUAUUUGGUCUUGGUCCUGUUCUACUAAGACUUCUCCAGAGUCUCUGAAUGUUUUGAAAAUAUAAUGUACUGUCUGUUUGUUCUGCAUAUAUGUUGUCAGCCACUUGUCUUGAUCAGUCUUGAAUUACUUAAUAAAAAAAACAAACAAACAAAAAAAGAAAAUAUAAUCUACUGUGACGAUGAAAUCCCUAUAUCCUGUACAGAUUACACCCAGAGACAUAAUUCUGAAAUAGUUACACUGUUUGUUCUCACAGUCUCUCAAAGCGAGGUAAACCUCUUUCCAUCUUUAUUUGUGAGAGAUUGAGCCUCUCAGGAAAGCCUUUGUAAACCCCAUUAAGUUACUAACCUGUUGCAAAUUAACCUCAUUAGACUGGGAGGUGUUUUAUUCAGCAUUACGCAACUUUUCUUGUUGUUGAAUCAUGCUGCUGACAUCAAAUUUAGUACAAACAUGUUUUUCACUAAACUAUCAAAUUUCACUCUUUCAACAUUUCAUAUGUCUUUUCACUUUUUAAAUACACAGCUGCUUUUAUCUGUGUCCAAGCUUUGGGAAUUUUAGUUUGUAUUACUCAUGCUUAUUUUGACGCACAUCAUUUCUACUUGAAUUUGCUUGCUGUCUUCUUAUCCUUGGUCUGGCUCACUGGCAGAUCUGUGUUUACUCGAGAAUAAUAGAUUAAGCCGCAGCUGUAGAUUCAGAAGAGCACCACUGUUUGUGUGUGUUUUUCCUUUUGUUGGAGUUUGGCUUUUACAAAGGGCUGGAGGAUCAUACUAACAGUGCACAGCUCGGUCCUGACGAGAACUGCCUGUGAAAGCUGGUCUGGGGUCAGGCAUAACGGCGGCACACAGAACUGAGCUCCCACUGUGCAGCCGCUCUGUUGGUUCCUCUAUUUCCAUACCAAACAGUUGACCAUUGAUUAUCCAAAGCCUACAACAGAAUCUGGUUUCAAGUUGACUGAAAGUUAUGUCGGAAUAUUUGACUUUUUUUUUUAGCGUUUUGUAGUGGAUUAGAGUCAAAGGUGAGGGUCAAAGGUUAAGGUUCAGGGCAUGGUUUGUUUUUAAAUUCACAGAUCAACAAAUAGUGCAGUCUAAUUUUUUGAAACUCUACACUGAUAUUUUCCUCCACCUGACCGGAUUUUUCUUCAACCCUUUAGAUCUGUAUGGUUUGCAUCAAGGGGGGCGCCCAGCAAAUUUCACCCUGGUGGUAAACAACCACGAGCCACACUGCUGAAGAGCUUCUUCUGUGUGCACUUCUGCACUACAGAUAAACUUAAAAUUCAAAAUCUGAAGUUUUAUUCCCUUAGCUGAAGCACAGAGCCGAGCAGUAGACCUCUCCGGCUGCAAACCAUCUUGUAGGAGGACAAGCUGCCUGUGGGAUUACAAAGCCUACUCGUGCUUGUGCAAUCAGCACCUCAGCAACUUUAACACAAUAUUAACCUUAUCCAAAAAGUGUAAGACUGUUACAGGAGCGCCAUGACUACUGCAGUUUAUAAAAUGAAUAGCUUUCCUAAAAAAAGGACACCAUGCUUUGUAUAAAUCCCAACUUGAUACAACAAAUUGCCUCUAAUAAUUAUAAUCACAUAAAUAUUUUACUCAUGUUUUGAUUUGCAUCUCUAGCAAAUGUGAUUAAAGCAUGUUUCAAAGUGAACCAGAAUAAGAACAAAAACGCAGAAAAUUGGGCAUUGCAGUGCGGAUCCUCUGUUUUGAAAACAAAUUAGAAAAUGUCACAAAAAGGUUUUUGUUCAAUUUAAAAUUGGUGAAUUUCUUUUGCAGAAAAGUGAUCGCGUCUUUUUAAGUUUAAUGCUACUUUGAAAAUAUAGAGUGCAAUGAAGCAAUCUAGAGACAAAUGUCACAAAGUGAUGCAAUUUUUUAAAGUUUUACUGUUUUGUAGAACACCAUGUUAUACACAGUGCAGUAAAUAACAGAACAGAUUGGUUUGAUAGGGGUGAUGUUUUUAUUAGCGUGAUUUAACUGACCGAAAGGGAGGGUAAAUAAAUGCUCAUGACCUUGUUGGUAUAUCAGAAGGUCGAACAUGGUCCUUUUACUAAUUACUAUGAACAUUUGUCUUUAUCCAAAUGGGAGAAACAGUUUGGGAACCACUGCCAGACAUGAUUAUCAUGUCCGUGGAGAUUAUAUUUAUCAUCAUCACGUUAAUAUUCAGCAUGUUAAACAACCCAGUGAGUUAUGUUGCAGUAGAAAAUAAAUGAUGUAGGAAAAAACUAAUUUGUUUUGUUUUUGUCAUACGAUAAGUCUAGGUUUUUUUAUUUUUACAAACAGUAGUUGUUGUUUGGAAGUAUGAUCAUAAAUCAUUGAUCAUAUCUCCAAACAUUGAUCACUUUGAAUGUUCAUACCUUGUCUUGAUGAUGUAAAUAUGCACACGAUUAAAAUCAGAAGCUUUCAAAGAGCUGUGAAGCAUUAAACUUUAAAUUCUGUCUAUAGCUUUUUUUCAUAUUUACCUAGCAAAACCCCAGAUGUAGAGUUUUUCCAUUAAAAACAACACUUCAACACAAAAUGCAAUAAUCCAGCAUCAGCCGUGAGCAUUAACACACAACUGUCUUUUUAAAAAUACAAGAACCUUUCUCAUUCACUGACUUCUUUUCACUGCCAAACUUUACCAGCUGAGACCCAAACACAAGCACAUAUACUCAUCAUAAAAAUCUGUCCAGCUCUGUGUAAUAGAUAACCUUUAUUUGAAUUGGUAAGUCAUAGAGAGCCACCAAGGAGACUGUUUCAUAAUCCUUUGAAAACACCAGACCUUGGGCCUUAUUUAUCAACCAUGUGUAUGCACAAAUGUGUGUGUGAUGAGGGUCAAAAGUUAAGGUUAACAUUCCCACGCAAAGUCUGGAAUUUAUCAACCUGUACUUGUUCUCAGCAAUGUGUGUAAAUUUAAGCACAACUCUGAGCAUGCUUACACACAAAACCUAGUGGUAGAGCAGUGAAACUACAAUCAGAACCCAUUAAAGGAGUCACAGCAUUCAGCAAUCUCAAACUUCACAUGUUCUCCAUUGCCUCUAUACAAAAUUUGUCAAUUAGUUAUUUAGCAGACAUUUUGAAUGAUUGGUGUAACACGCUAUAAAAUCAGCUGUGACAGGACAACCUCAAAAGAAGUUUUACAAGUACAAAUACAAGUAUCACGGCUUAUUUUGUGCUAUUAGAGGACUCAGAGAACCGUAUGCUCUGCAGGGAGCGCGUUUUCAAAGAGCGUGCUGAUCUGUUCAGUGAGAACACAGAGUGGCGUCUCAGCAGGUACCGCUUCCCCAAAAAUAUUUGAAUGGAUUUAUGCCGUGAUUAACAACCUGUGUUGGAGUGAGAGACAAAAACGCACCAAAGCCGUCCCAGUGCAGAUCCAGCUCCUGUCCACCCUAACCGGAACAUUUCGGCGUGAGAUUAGAAACAUACUGCAUCUCGCAGCCAACGCUAAGCAGAAUCAUGCCGGCAGAGAUGGAUGCAAUGAUUUCUCUGGCCUCAAUUUACAUCCAGUUCCCAAACACACAUCACCAACAAGCCGAAAUAAAACGAGAAUUUCACGCCAUCGCCGGGUUCCCAAACAUAAUUGGGAAUCCACCCACAUCAUGAUAACAGCACCUUCACACAAUAAAUGCAGUUUUGUCAACAGGAGAGGAUUUCAUUCAAUCGAUGCACAAAUAAUCUGCGAUGCACAUAUGUAUGUGUUAAACGCUGUUGCCUGGUGGCCUGAAGGAACGCAUGACUCAUUCAUUCUGUAGAAGAGCUCUGUGAGUGUGCACCUCCAUGAUUUUGGCGAGGGGUAAAAAAUCAAUUCACGCAUUUUUAAAGGGAUUGUUGAUACCAUAAAUGGUCAGUUGGAGGGGUUUAUGAAUGCACAUGACCCUAACCAUGCACGAGCAUGGUGGUAAAGACCAGGUGGGAUUUAUCAUCACCGAUUACUUACGAGUGUGCGUAUGACCCAUGUCCGCAUGUUUGAUAAAUACAGAUUUUUUUUGUUCCUACACACAUUCUAAAUUUCAUCCCAACGCCAGAAUUUAGAACCUUUUCUACGCACAGUUGAUAAAUGAGGCCCCAGAACUUUACCUCAAUUGUUGGUUACUUUGUCAAACUCUGCUCUUGUUUCAGCAUUAAGUGAUCUUCUAUUUAACGGUCAAAUCUUUUUUUUAGCACCAUACAGGAUCAAUCCAGCUCUCUCUGAAAUUAGUAAGGACCCAGGAGAAGCAAAAAGGUUAUUUCUAGUGUAAACAGUAUUUCGAAGGUUCAGUAACAUGGCCAAUAUUUCUUGACAUUUUACACCAUGUCUGUGUCCAGUUCGAGAGACGUGUGCUGCUUUCCUCCGAUGAUGAGCAGAUAUUAUUAUGUAUCGAUUACAUUUCUUUCUUCUGACAAAUUCCUCUUUGUCUCUCAGCAGCUGCUCUCUCUGUCAUGAAAUCAUGGUAAGCUCAGGAAGAGCAGUGACUGUAUUGAUUUAUGUCUCAUAGGUAUAAUACCAGAUUGGAUUUGGUUGAUCUUAACGAGAUCUUUCUUCAGACUUCACCAGUGUUGCCAACCGGGAAGUCUUUGAUGGCAUCUGGUUGAUUAUUCACCGGUGUAUUUCACCUAGAUCACAUAUGUCAGAGUCAAGGCCCGCGGGCCACAUCCGGCCCGCGAGAAGGUUUUUUACGGCCCCUGGGAUGAUCUUGAUUUAUUAUUAGAACCGGCCCGCAGACCGCAGCAAGCCGGCAGCCCGCAGAUCUUUUACACGCACCAAUACUACAUUUCCCACAAUGCAACGGUGACGCACCGAGCAGUAGGCUGCUUCAUUUCAAUAUUUAUUAGCACAGCAGUCGUCAGCAUAACAGUAAAAUUAACUUUCAGAUACCCAUCAAAAAUGGCAAAACGGAAGGUGGACACUGAGAACCGGGGGUUUCAAACAAGGUGGGAGUCGGAGUAUAUAUUCACGGAGGUAGCUGGAAAACCUGUGUGUCUUCUGUGUGGAGAAAGUGUGGCGGUACUGCAAGAGUAUAAUCUGAGACGACAUUAUGAAACGAAACACGCGGAUUUUUGUACUUUAUUUUAUUGUAUUUCAAUCCAAUUAUAUUUUAAAAAUAUUUCAGUUGAGUGGAUGAUAGAAAAUUGCUAUUAUUAUUUUUUUCUUUGAAGUAAAUUUAGCCCACUUUUGCUAAAAUAGAAAAUAUAGGCUACUGAUGGUGCCUUGAAUAAUACCGGUUUCUUUCAUUUAAUGUUCAUGUUAUGGGGAUUUUUAUAUAAAGGAAAUUUGUCUUUUGUGUCUGUUGAAAAUUAAAGAUUACUGACAGAGCCAUAAGAAAAUAUUGCUUUAUUUAUCUGAUCAUAUUGGAAUAUAUUUGUUAGGUUUUCAGUAGGUUCAAUUAGGUUCACUAGACUAUAUGCGUCAUUUAAAAAAUUUUCAAUGAACAUUCGAUCAGUCCGGCCCUCGGCUUGUAGCUAAAUUUUUUAUUUGGCCCUCCGUCCAUUUGACUUUGACACCCCUGACCUAGAUUAAACAGCUAAAAACAAGACCCUGUGACACAUUAAAAAGUAGAAAAAAAAAACAAUUUCUGUGAGAAUAGUUUGUGUGUCCAGCUUAACAAUGUAACUUUACUUUAAUGCAUAAAUGUGAUACUGUUGUUAUAGGUGAUAUCCUUUCACUGCAAUGUAUACAAUGAUAAGUAAAAAGCAUGUACUCUCUGAGUCUCUUUGUAUGGGUAAGCAUUACUAUCGGCAAUAAAUCAACAGAAAAUAUCCAAUGGAUACUCAUGAAUUUAAAAUGUAUGAAGAUUUGAGCCACAGGAUUAUAAAACAAAGCAAGUAACAGCAGGAGAACAGAGCAGCGAAAGACCAACAACAAAGAAAGAAAAUAUGUGUGAUGAAAUAUGCAAAUGAUGCAAUCUGUGCACCAAACAAAAAAGACAAAUUACAAGAUAUUUAGAUCUAAAGCACACUCUGUUAGUUUUUAACUGAAAAAUAAGCAGCCUGUUCCCCAGUUUGUUUGGACUUUCAUGACUCUGACAUAUCAGACUAAUUAGAGACUGAAUAUGAGAAGCACUUUGGGUGAUAAAUGUUCAGUAGCUCUGCGUCUGAGAGAGAAAUUAUUUUACAGUUAGAUACUCAUUACCACCAAGGCCAGGGCGUUUACGUAUAACCGCCGCUUUCUAAACAAUGCACAAAAAAAAAGUGACAAAUCCUGCAUGAGGUGCUGUUCCUGGGACACAGACUCUACGUUUUAAAGCCUUCUCAAUAAAAGGUUGAGCAAAAAGAGCAUAGUGGUGCAUUUGUAAGCAGUUUAUUCACGAAUUCGUGCAAGAAGGGUUUUCCUCACGAAGAGAGAGAGAGGGGGGAAAAAAUACAAUCAGUUAAAAUGUUAAAUUAGAUGACUGGACUUCCUGAAUGAGGCCACUUCACAGUUAGACUUCAACUGAUCCUAAUUGUCUUAAAUGUUUACUCCCCGAGCAAUUUAUUUUCCCUUUUUGUGUUCGGCAUUAUGAAUGAGCGACUAAUUAAUACAGUUGUGUGACUAUUAUUUCAUCUCUGCUUGUGGUCUGAAUGAAAAGAAUAUUUUCAACCUGUGGUGGAAGUAUAAUGCCAAAAAUCUGCCAAAAUUGCCUGAAAACUUUUCUUUUCAUAGAUUUUGACUCUCCGGGGGGUUUCGCUUUAUGGAUUUCUGUUUGCUAAAAGGUACCUAACCAAUUUUUUCCAUUUUGAGUUGAUCCACUUGAGAGGCUAUUUUUCCUCCCACUCCAAGUUCCCAAAACACUUUUUAAAAUGUCAGUUUUUUCAUGAUUACAUUAAAUGCACACCCUUGUGUAUAAACUCCUACUUAUUUCUCUGCCUCUAUCUCUCUCGCUGCCUCAGUGAUCGGUACUUUUGGAGUUUAUUGGUUUGACUUUUUAUCGUUUUAAAAUCCGUAAUGUUUCCUGUGCCUGGCAAAACACAGAUGUAAAGGCAGAAUCUGACAAAGAAAAACUGUAGAUUUUAUCUGUAUAAAUGAAAACGCUCUGUGUGAGUUGUGGUGUGAAGUAAAAAGGGAGUAUUGACAGAGCAUGAGAGUAGCCAUCAGACCCAACUACACUGUCACUUUAGACUUGACUUGUAGUCGACCUUCAGAGACUUCAGGGUUCAGGCUGACUCGGACUCAAGUUUUAGGACUCGUAAACAAUCUUAUUCUUAAAAAUAUUUUUUUCUCAAUAGUGGACAGAAAUAUAAAAAGGAGUCUUACACACAGACCAUGACCAGAAAGCUCACCUAAGCAUAGCUACGACAAUUUUAGUCAUUUUUCGUCUGUAUGAGGCCACUAUGAACAAUCACUAGCUUCGUUUACAUGGAGCCAAAUAUUCCGAAUAUAAUCGGAUUAGAAGCCCAAUCAGAAUGAAAAUGCUCCAUAUAAACACCUCAUUCGGAAUAAACAGGCCCAUUCCGAAUGGAAUUUCAUUCCGAUUCACAGGGGUAGAAUUUUCCUUUUCCCAUUCCGAUUAAAAGCAAAAUCCUGUCAUGUAAACGGUGAAUCGGAAAGUUGUCAGGCUGGGUUCUGUCUGCGCAUGCUCUGUCCUGAUGUAAACAAGCAGUGACGUAUGACUCACAUGGAAACAUGAUGGCGGCUUCCAAGCAGAGCACGAUGCACUGGUCUGUGUCGGAGAUCACGUGAUCAAUCAAUCACGUGAUGUUUGAAGGUAUCACGUGUCUGUAAAUAGCUGUUCCGAUUGAAUGCCGUGGCACAUGUAAACACCAGAUCAGAAUAGAUCGCUUCCAUGUAAACAGUUCGCCUGGGAGCUUCAAUCGGAAUGAUUAUAAUCCGAAUGAGAAAAAAGUCUGCAUGUAAACGUGGCUAAUGAGUCAACAGUAUCAGGGGCAGAUCCAAGGUUUAUCUGGGGUGCCCCAGCCCCAGAGGUGCCUCACCCCUAAAACUUCAAACUUGAUUAUGCACCUCAAAUCCUAAACUAUGAUUUUCCUUACGGUAGAUGGAGCAUGUUACUAUAAACUAUUUUGGCUAUUGACUGUGACUUAAAGCGCUGUUGCUACAUGUUGCUACCAUGUUGUGUUAAGUUUUAGCUCACUUAUUGUAAUAUUUACCAUGGUAACUUUGUCAAUUUGACAUAAUGUGAAAUAAAUAAGGAAGUCCUCCACAUUCUGUACAUUUAAGAUAUUUUCCUGAUGUUGAGGUUUUACUCAUCCACUAGAUGAUAAGACACCCUUCAGGUGACAAAACUUGGUUACACUGUUAAGUCAGACAUAGAGUUCAGUAAAAUCAAAGUAAAAACAAAAUCAGGAAACCGAUUUCAUAGGGCCUUCUUCUGCAGAUUUGUACCUAUUUGUUAUAUGUCUUGCAACAGCUUGGAGGGGUGUUGUUGUGCUGCCUUAAAUGUAGUCUCUUUGUUUUUUCAACAGAUUCUGUCUAAAAAGGGCCUGGAUUUAAGAAUAGCAAGUGUCCCUGUUUUGUAUUAUUGUUUGCAGCUCAGGUGAUAUUUACCAUUUAAGCAUCAGCAGGAAACAGACUCCUGCUUAGUUGUGUGUGUGUGUUUGCAUGAAAAAAGUCCUUUUGGAGGUGUCCUGCUUUUACCUUCCAUAAAAAGUCUGACAACAACGUGUUUCUCUGUAAAUACAUACUGUAAAAUUGCAUGCAACGGCAGCUAACAGUCUGAAAAUCAUGUCUGUUUAUUUGCAUGUUGUAGAUCAGUGUUAAAGUUUUUUAAUUUCAGGGGGUUCAUCAGAAUUGAUCAGUCUAAUCUCCUCUCAACAACCAGGUAGGUUUGCUCUCCAUAUGAGGGCCUGACCUGAAAAGCUCUUUUUUCCCCUUAUUUUCUGUUUAAUUGGAUUUAUGCUAAAUUAAAACCUAUUAAUUUGGUUAUAAAUCAUGAGAAAAUCUCUUUCUUCCUCACUUCAAUAGCCCUCCAGUAAGCCAGAGUGGAACUAUCAAGCUCAAAUGUGUUCCUCUAGAUUUAUUUUGCAAAUCAAGAAGAACAAAUUUGGCUUCGGUUUUUAUCUGGAUAAAACUGUCAAGCUAUGAACAAUGCGCCGCAUGAGCAAGAUGUCUUAGCUCAAGAUUAUCCAUGGCUUACUGCUGUCUUUCACUGGAAUAUGAGGUAUAAGUCCAAAGUUGCAGAGGAUCAGUAGAUUCAUUUUAAAGGUGCGAAGUUAUAUGGAGCGUAGGGUCAUUUCGAGUUUGCCAGUGAAUCUAAGAAACCAAGGACAGCAGCGUGCUGAUGAUCCUGAGAAUUCAAUCUGUUCAGUUACAACCUGAGUGAAUUCAGUCUGAACUCUGCUACACAGUGAUGCUUUUGCAAUGGGGAUUUAUGUUUGGUUAAAGCUUCUGUACACCCAGGCCACUACGAGAAGGGACUUUUCAUUGCCACAUAUGCAUUCAGAUGGAUUUAAGUCAAGGGAGUAUUGAUCUGAAUAGCCUCUCUGAGAAGAAAUGAUCAUUUUUAACUUGGAAUAUGACAUGACUGCUAGAUUUUAUGUUGGCAGAAGCUAACAGGGAAUAUAUGAAGAUUUAUGCUACACACCAGUCAGUUUAACCCCAUGUUGACCAGUCUGAAAGUUGAUGUAAAGGGUGAUCAAAAGGCAGGUCCUCGACACCCACUGUCACUGGACAGCGGUAGAACAUGUUCAAGAGCUCAAGGCAAACAACUAGGCUUCAUUAACAGUAACAAAAUUCAGAUUGACACCCGAACGUCAUUAUUUUUAUUUGCACUCUAUGGGAGAUCAGUGUGAGUCGUGUCCCUGAUCAGAUCUACACACAUUACACUUCUGCCCUAUCAACAAAAUCACAAAAACAAAGACAAGAGGACUUAGGCAAAGACUGAACCAAAGCAUCAAACCGUGGAGGGUUUUUCUUAUUCUCUGUUCUAUAUUUUGACACAUUUACAUCUAGUAAAAGUGUUGACACUGAAUACUGGUAAAGUUUCAACGUAAUAGACGCAUAUUUUGUCCUCAGAGUGAAAUCUGCAGGCUGCCCUGAACUCCAGGUAUCACAUGUUUUUUAUUUAUCUUUGAGAUUAUCAAAAUGUUCAUGUGCCCCAGACAUGAUAUUUUUUUCGUAGGAUGGUCGGGUAAGGUCCUGCCUCCUUCGCCUCUGAUUGGCUAGAAAAGCUGGGCUCCAAUUGGUUAUUCCUUAUGGCUGUGAAACGUCAUCGCACGCUCAAGCCGAAUGCGGGUUGUUGGUUCUGUACAGCGAACAGAAUGACACAUUAUCGCAAUUCUGAAUCUCCUUACCCUAACCCGACAGACAAUGACGUUUCACAGCCAUAAAGAAUAACCAAUCGGAGCCCAGCACUUCUAGCCAAUCAGAGGCGAAGAAGGCGGGACCUUCCCUUACCAUUCUAAAAAAAAAAAAAAUGUGUCUCAGACACAAAAAGGACCCACCCACUUUUUCAUGGUUUCAGAGGGACAACCAAUGAGAUGAAAGCUGUUUUUUAGAGAUUGGAGCCUAAAAAGAUAGUACCUUAAAUUUCCAGAACCUGAAUAUAAACUUUCUUGCAUGCAGUACAAGUAGAUGGUAAAAAGGACUGUGUUUUUAUCACUCCUUGUCUUGCCUUCUGACCACUCAAAGAGCUCUACAUUAUAUUGCCAAAUUCAUCCAUUUACACCACAUCUACACACUGAUGGUCGAGGCUUCUGUCAAUAGAGCUCAUCAGUCUCUGACUAAUCCCAUUCACACACCACUGGGCACAGCCAGUGUGGCAGGUGGGGUCAAGUGUCCUACCCAAGGACACUUCUGCAUGUGGAGCCAAGGACCUGCCCCCCCAAACAUGGAGCCAAGUCGCCCCUUAAGUGUCAGUGUCAUUUUCAGCCAGAAGCAGUUGUAAUUUUUAUGCCUCUUGUCCACAGUGGGAAAAUUAGGUGAAAUUGUGCCUUCAUUAGUCACUAUGUGUGAGAUGGUUAAGCACAGUGGUGUUGUCAGAUGGAGUAGUCGCACAUUUCUAAAUUGAGAAACCAGUAAGUGUCUGAGUUACUUGACUCUGUGGGAGGCCAAACAAACCCUGAUGAUACGGCUAAUAAAUGCCUAAAUGAGGCCAUUUGUCAUGUCUUCAUGUGCCUUUAGUAACUGUUUUAUUUGCAUGUUGAAAGUAUCACGCUGCAUUUUCUUGUUAAAUAGUCAUUUGAAUAAUUCACUUUGUUAAAAUGUUUUAUUUCUGCGGACACCUGGAGAUGAGUUGUAAACAACACCUUGGGCAAAAUUAAUUUAUUACCCACUCCAACUCCUUUUUGCUCAUUUAUUUUUCAAUCUGAGAUGCUCAUGAUGAAGUUGUAUCAAUCAUUCAAAUGUGUCGACUUAGUUUACACCCCUUAGGCAUGAUAUAAAACAUUCUUCACAGUGAUAUUCAGUUGGCUUAUGGAACAAGAAAAGGAGGGGUCAGAGAAAAUACAAAGUGAACCGACUGCUAUCAGAAAUUGAAUUCAUGAAUAUCAAUAGCAUGGUCCCAGCACAGCUUUGAAGUGGCCUUUCAAAGAGAGAUAUUUGUCUCCGGCUUGUGUUGUAAUCUCAGUGACCCUGAGCGCGCUCGCCUUCAUCCGUUCCUUUCUGCCACAAUGUCACACAGGGACAGUUGUAAAAAAAAGGGAACAUGCACAGCAAUUAAAAACUAAAGGGCCUCUCACAGAGUUCCCCUCCUCUGUAAUUACUGCUGUGUGUGCCCAGACUACAACAUUGUCUUUCAGUAGAGAUUGGUUGUUGUUCUCUAGAGCAGCUUUCUUUUUAUUCCAAAAAUUUCUAAGAACAGUCCCACAAAAACAUGAUGCACACAUUCCGAGUAAUAAAUAAAAGGUUACUGAAGAGUCGUAGGGCUGCAUUUACUAAUAACUUUCCCUAAGAUGGUUACUUAAUGUUCCUGCAGAGCUUUUGGAGCUGGUUUAUUGUAUUGACGAGUGCUCUCAUGAGGCUGAAACUCGAACUCGUACACCAUAGGUUCAAGGCGUUCCAAUGCCUACUAACCGGAAUGAGCAAUGGUCCACUUCUUGUCUAUCAUCCAUGUUUUAGAAUGGCCAUUGGAGAUUUUACAAUACAAUACAAGAACUUCAAUGAUCCCAAAAGGGAAAUUCAUUUGUCUGGACUGGAGUCUUGUGUAUUGAGUCAUCGACUACUUAUAGAAGAAUUAAACAGUCUGAUGGCUGUGGGUACAAAAGAUCUUGAGAAACUUUCUGUCCUCCAGAGAAGUAAGAGGGGUCAAACCCAUCUAAAGGUACGAUCGUCAGAGGCUGUGUCAAUGGUAGGGUGACCAUUUGUCCUCUUUGACCCGGACAUGUCCUCUUUUUUUGGAGGUUGUCCGGCCUUGUCUGAGGGAGUUUAUAAAAUCCUUCAAAUGUCCGAGGUUUUGUAUGGAAGAUUUGAGUUUGUGAUGCGUGGACUUACUGAGUUAGAAGCGUGUAAAAAAAACACUCGACCCGAAAAACUCUCCAAAUUUACCAUGCGCGACUCUGUGACUCCACUUGCGUGUAAUCGUGUCCUCUUUUUUGGUAUUCAGAAUAUGGUCGCCCUAGUCAAUGGAGAUCCGUUGGAUGGUCUUCGAUUCAGAUUAGGACAUUUCACCAGAUAUCGUGAGUAUGACGGUAACAUUUUGUGAACCUUCAUUUACGAAAUUCAACAUCUGCACUCACAUUUAUUACAAUUUAGAUAAUAUUUGCCUCUAUUUAAAAGGAUGACCCGGGAGAGUCAAGAAAUGUAGGGAGAAUAGGGGACGACAAGCACAAAUGCACACGUUCAAGUCCAGACGAGACAGGGAUCGCUAUUCGGACCAAUGUGUUGACAACCCUAUCCUUCAUAUUUAAGACAACUGCUCUGCGAACUGAGCUAAACUAACGCCUUUUUAUUCGUUACACUUCUGCUCAAUCUCAAAACAAAAAAAAGGAGGGUGAGAACCAGAGACUGACCUCAAGUGGAUAUUUGGUGUUCAUUGUCAUCGACUGGGCGCUGAAUCUGAGGUCAAACAUUAACACAGUGACAGACUUGGCUUGGCUUGGUAACUGGCUUGUAAAUCUUUAUGGCCUGUUGGAAACACUCUAGUAAAAAUAUUUCAUUGGAGUUCAUGAUAAUGAGGACAUCAACUUUUUUGUUUUCAAGGGAAUACUUUAUAACACCAUUAUUUUUACCUCAUGACUGUUUGUUGUCUCUUUAAAAAGUGUAUGGCCAGAAAUGAUCUUAUCUGAAAAGCAUUAUUUUGGUACGAAGCAUUUUAACACGUAUUUGGUUCAUUAGGACGUUUGAAGUGUUUUCUAACUAUCUGCCUGUGGGGCUUUAUUUUCAAAGUUUAGGAGGGUGCUCUGACUUUCUUUUUGAGAGUUUAAUGCACUUUUUCAUGAGAUCGUAUUUCAGCACUCUCCGCCAGUGGGGAUUUGUCACAGUUAAUCACAUCAAACUCAUUAAUGUCACAAUGUUGAGACAGGGUUGAAAUUGAUGUCUUAAAAAGUGGCACACCAUCACAAAUUUUUAUCCUAAGGUUGGUGAUUUGAUUUUAUACAUUUAUACACAUGUAUUUGCAUUCAAGACUAGAGGAGAUAUUAAAAAAACAUAGAUAUAAGGGCAAAUGAGGGUUCAGGCUCGCAGAUUAGGAUCAAAUCUAAAAAGGAGCGACUGAAUUUAUUUGGAUGUGUUAUUGAGCAGAAGAAACACAUUAAAUCAAAGUAAUUUUAUUAUCCAUUUACUUCAUUAAACAUCAAUUUUCUGACAAAUUGUGUUCAAUGAUGCUGUUUUAUCAAGAAAUAAAGCGACUGAAUUUCAUUAUUACUUCAUGAAAACUUUGGCAGGAAGAAGCAGGGAGAAGUUUCAAUGAUUUGAUCCGAUAAGUCACUUGACUCAUGAGAAAACACAAGAGUAAACCCACCGCUGUUCUGAACAUGUGGUUUGUUACAAAGGUUGGUGUUUCACAUGUCUUGUCCCGCUGUCAUUAAUUCCAUUUUAAGCCUUCGCAGCCUCUCAAACUCGAGCACAAAGUAUCUGACGUCAAAUCAUGAGCGCACAGACCAAACACUCCAUAUGAAGUAUUCCGGGAGCUCUUAUGUGCUGCUGUUUAUUGUGUUUUUCCACACUUCUGAUCUCAGUACAGUUACCUAAGCUUGGCACACUGCCUGGACAGCAACGUGUCAUUUUGAGUUACAUCCUCAAAAAUCAUAAAACCCCACAAUUUUUCUGCUGUUCGGUCAGGAAAACAAUCUUGAUAAAAAAAAUACAUCAGCAGUUCAUUUUCCAACUUGGAACCCACUCCACAAACUAAACUUGUGUAUCACUUGCCAAUCUCCAGGCUUGUGGGCUGAAUCUCGCCUGCUGUGAAAUUUUAUUUUCUUGACACAAUAUCUGUUCAAGCUGUUUCUCUGAGCUCUCCUCCAGAAUGAAUAAAAUGCAGAAAAUCUCUGCUGAAGUCAGACUAAUCAAAGAGGAGGGACAGUGAGUGUUUAAAGCUGGUGACUCCCGUUUGCCAUUAGGCCCUAAAGUUUAAGUGUGUGACGUUUUACAGCCAUCAGUCAUAACAGGCUAUGCAUAUUCGAUGGGCUUUUAUGGUACCCAGUGUGCUGCUCACGACUACACAGAUGCAGCAGACAGUAUGGAUGAGAGGGCCAGCUCUACCCUGUAAUGUUGGCGUAUUCCCGGUCAGGGGGAGAAGGGUGCUGCCAAAAGUAGGAUUUGAGGGUAAAUCAACUUGGGAAAUCUUAAGGGUCAUAAGCUCUAUUUCGGGUUUAUUAGAGUGUUUUAGGACCAAUUCAUUCUUUUCCAAUUUAUAAAGAACAUUUUGGAGCAGGUUCAUUUGGGAGUAGUGAAGACGCAAUUUCUAAGAUGAGCCGAUUUACCUCAAAAUGAUAGCACACAGCAAAGCAGGGUUUAGCAACGUGAACCACACAUCUUCAUCAUAGACUGUAUACUACACGGCGCAGUAGCACUGUAUGCAUUUGGCGGGAGAGUUGCUGUGAUGACGCUCAGCUCAAAUAGCAUAUGCCCUGGGUGAGCAACGCAAUCUCUGCCCAUAGUCUGUUUCAAGUGUCAAUCAUAGAAAACAUGAACCUUGAACUUUUAAAAUCUGAGCUGUACAGAAAAAAAAGGACUUGAGCACAAACCAGUCUUACAGUAACCACAUGUCAACAUCGCAAGCAGGGGAAAAAAUAUAUAUAUUCUGUGUAAUAAAUUUCUAAAUUUUGUCCACACCCUCAUAAGGAUGGCUGGUGGAGGCGGGAUUUAUGACCUAUACUGCAGCCUGUCACCAGAGGGUGCUGUUCUCUGGAUGGCUUCACCCAGCGAGGAGGCAGACGCUGUCCAUUUUUUAUACAGUCUAUGAUUUUCAUUCAUUGAGUUGUCAGAUAAAAUGAAACUCAGUCCAGUGGAUAUUUUAUAAAUGCUGACAAUUUUAAAACAGGUGAUCUUCUCUGCCUGAAAAGAGUGAAUAAAUCAUUGAAUAACCAGGACUCAGAACAAACGAGAUAAAUUAGGAUGACCAUAUUCUGAAUCCCCAAAAAGAGGACACAACUCCGCAGUGUGGAGUUGUUCGCCAAGCAAAAUUUUGUGGGUUUUUAAGGUCGGGUUGAUUUUUUACGCACUUCUGACUCCGUUAAACACAUAUUCUGAAAAAACAAAAAAAAACAAAAAAAAAAACAGGCGACAGUUCAUGUCACCAGUUUUUACUCAGUAUAGGCAGCUUACUAAAGCAGAUGAUGACUUGCUUAGCAGAGUUGUUUAUUUUGUAGCUUGCAUGUUAACAUCAGAGUGCUGGACUUGUGCAUUUAUCAUCUAUAUGAUGUGGGCUCUGUAAAUUUAAGCGCAGGCUGUGGGUUGCUGAACCAAUCAUGAGAUGUAAAAUAUUGAUUGGGUGGGCAGAACUCACGUUAGGGUGACCACUCUUGCUCAUAGCUGCCACUGACCCUGAAAUAUGAUGCUUUUGUUGUGUUUGUGAAUCCCAAAAUGUGAGUGCAUAUGUAAUCACCACUUCUAAUCUCUUGGAUGAGGAUUUGCAGAAAAUGUACGACACCAAUCAGAGGCCUGAUGGAAACAGCUGAAUGACUUUCUCCUUUCAUCUCCUGCAUUAUACCACAGCUCCUCCCAUCCACUGAGACCACUUGGCAGUACUCACUUGUGGGAACAAAUGUUCCCUGUGAUUCAGAUCAAGGCAUUUUUCAUCCGUCCAGCUGCAAAAGACAAAACACCCUCUGAGCUGGAGUUCAAGUUAAUGAACUCGCAGUAUAAAGGAAAGGUGUGAGGUGAAAAAGUGAGAGCUAGCAGGUCAAGAUGAGACACAGACCUGUGAUUGAAACUUCACUGGGGAGUUUGUCAUCGCAGAAGAAAGACAGAUAUCUCAGCCCGAGACGGCAUAUUCAAUUCCUCGGUUCAGAGAAAGUUCAUGAAAAUGUGUAGGCCCUCUUUCUCAUGUUCUACAUGAGGUUUUCACUGUGCAGCUGCUGUCUUCCUCAAAUCUGCAGUCAAAGCUAAGUCCAGCUGACAUGGUGUGAAGCGUCCUCAUAUCUCUUCUGUCACUUAAAUUGUCUCUGCAGCAAAGCAGUGCUCCACAAACAAACAGCUUUGUCGUUUGUUUUCUUUGAUCUCGACCAUCCAUAACAAGUGAGAAAUUUCAAAUGUGUCCUCGGCCCCGCACUGAUGACUUGCCAUGCUGUGUCACAGAGACAAAAGACUGUAAAACUAUAGCUGGAUGCUUCAGGGGAAGAUUAACCACAAAAUGUUGUAUGAUGUGUGCAUUGUCCGAGUUUAAGUAUCACUAAAGAUGAUAUUUUCAGUUCAAGUUUUCUGAAACUUAUUUUUGCUGCUAGUCUUGUUAGGAAAUCUUGAAUUCUUUGAAAAAUGAGCAUUUGCUUAUAAACUAUUUACUGAGACAGAAAGCCUGUUUGAGAAAUCGUUUAACAAAGGAGGCAAUUUUGAGACCUUUAAUACAGGAACUCACAGGGGGUCUUUAAAAAUUACGGCUUUGCACAAGAUCACCACUAUUCUAUCCAUUUAACAUUCAGUUUGUCCAUCAUGCUGUCACAAUAAUGGACAAAAUUGAUGGUUAGUUUGGAAAAUGAACAUCAGGCCUUUCCAACAGGAGGCCAUAGUUCCAGAACAGCAAGUGAGUGAGUUUACUUGGACUCAAUUAUGCUACUUUUGCAUCUUUUGUUUAUUUUUUGAUAAUAUCCUGAUUGCAGAAACUGGAAUAAGCCCUCACCUCCUCAGUAAAACAAACACGGUGGCCUCAACAAGAGCAUCCCACCAGUCGCAACUGUGUAUCUUCAACUGACGUGGUGGCACAUACAGGCUGACACCAGAUUGAGUUUGAUCCCGUUCCGAUGGUUUUCUUUUUCAUUUUUACUCCUUGAAGUGUUCUAAGUGGUCUAUAAAUUGUGAUCAUGAAGUUUUUACUAAAAAUCACGUUACCCGUGUCAUUUUCAAGGUCUUUUCCUCUGCAGAGCUGCUGUAGCUCAUUAGCAAUUCACCUCUGAGUCGUGGGCGGAGACAGCCCUUCACGUUAGCUUGCAGCCUAACAUUGCCGAUGUAGUAGAAGUGGCAGGUAGAAUAGGAGCUAUUCAGCUCUUGGACACUAAUAUCUUUGAGGCAUGAUGAAAGUUAAUAUAAUUAGCUUUCUUAUGAGCAUUGCAAACUGCUAGCGCAGAAGCUUAUUCGGCGAUUAUCCUCUCCGUUUUUUCAGGGUGUGGCCUGCAUAGUGGGGCUCCGGGGGCGGAGCUUGAGUUUGCUACGUAGGAAAUCUCACAGUAUCUGAAGCUGCCGUUUGGGUCUGACAAAAAUUCACAGCAAUUUGAAUGCAGAAAUACUCAGAAAAUGCAAUUUUGCACCUAGUUUUCUUAUGAUAUGUCCUGUAGCAUCAGAAAAAUGCCACAUGAACAUGUAGAGAACAAGAAAAAAUUGAUUUUCAUCGGAGUGGGUCUUUAAACAUUUGCUGACCCUGUCCUCACCUGCUGCUGGACAUGGGGCAACGCGAUGCUGGUAUAGUCCAGAGUUUACCACAGUGGUGUUACUUUUCUUAUAUUUGAAAAUUGCUGCAGUGAAAACUAAAAUUUCACCAACGCCUGCUUUAAAAGGAUGUAAUAAUUAUAAACCAGAACAGGUCUGAACAUGAAUAACCAGGUUACUCUGUUCGCAUGUAAACCAAGAGAAAGGCUCAUAACCAGGACCAGUUAUAGUUGUGCUACACUGCUCAUGUUCUGAGUGGGCUCUUUUUCUCCUUUUUUCCAUGGUGUCAGAAUAAUUUUGGUUCUAACUCAUCAUCUCCACAUGACUGGAUGUUAAAAAGUCAUGGUGAAAACCACUAUCUGGCCAAACGUGAGCAAAGAUAGUCAAAAGUGCCACGGACCUGAGGAGCACUACAUCUUUCACAUCUUGAACUUUUUUUUAACUUAAUCUCAAAGUCCUUCAGGUCCUGACACAGCGGCGUGUUUUCAAGGUGUCUGUACAAAAAAAUGAAAUAAAAUCAAAAAUAAAAACUCUUUCAGGAUUGUCGUGUACAAGUGGCUCUUUCACUGUAUGAGUGUAUAAGUGUCAUUUCUUUUACACUGCUCGUCAGUUCCCUUGCAAACCUGGUAAACUCACCAACAAUAACAAAUUUGCAGUAAGAAAUGAAAAGAUCUUUCCUUUAAUCUGUUCUCUUACCUCAUAUGUCCAACUUUAGUGCCUCUGCUUCAACAGAAAAUUCUGUUGAGCCUCUGUUCACUCUUCCUCGGACGUGGCAGAGAAGGGAAGACCUCAAGACGGCAAAAAGGGGAGCCUUGAAACAGAUCAUAAGUAUAUGUCAGUUUUUAAACUCUCGUUUAUGAUGAACUGAUUUCAGAGGGUUAGCGUAUGUCACAUUUUUGUGUGUCAAUGGAUACUCUUGAUACACAAGUGUUGGGCAAACACACUGAAAAUGCGUUUUAUUAUUAUUUUUUUUUAACAAUAUGUCUCCUUUCAAAACAUAUCUCUUGGCCACUGGAGAGUUUAAGUGCUUGAAUCUUGUAAUAGAUUGGGCCAUGAAGGAUGCACCCAGCAAAGAGGGACUCAUUUGUUGGCUGCGUUUACGGGGGCCUUGUCACACUGUAGUCAUGCAGUAAGUCUGGAAAUGUGAAUGCAGCCUUGGAGGGAUACAGCUAACCUCUCUCUGGUAAGUGAGUCGUAAGUGAGUUGAUCACUUUUUUUAUUGUUUUGUAUGAGUCCUCAUAAAAGAAAUUACCCUUCUUGGAAGCACAAAUGAAUACCUUGCACUUGCGCAUCAUGUUUUGGUCUUGCAGUCGGCUCUGCAACACCAAUUGCAUGUGUUUUAUCCAACAUCUCUGGAAGAUGGAUGGCACCAUAGUGUCUCAGAGCAACAUUUGGCUGAGGUUUCCAAUUUUGAUGUUGGGGAGUGGAGUCAUAUUUGCUGUAACUUGCAAUUCCUGUUUUGGCCCGAGUAACCAACUUUUAACCAAGGAGCAGUUUGAAGUCAAGGACCUUCAAUGAGCCAUGAGUUGGUGAUUGCCAGAUAAAAAAAAGGAAAAACUGCACACACUGUCCAUUUCUGAGUGUGAGAGGCCAUCCUGUAGAAACUCAACAUAUGGUCAACCAAAUCCACACCACACCAAACACUAUGUUGGUGUUGAACUCUGCAAUUGCCAGUGACCUUGACACCUGGACAAACCUUUGUCUUUCUUAGACAGUAGGCUUGAUUUAGGCUUUACCAAAGGUCAAAGGAAGAUAUUUGGGUUCACAAAUGUCCUCCACAGGGGACAAAUGUAAACUACUGGUAGUCAUGUGGUUAGCUGAUAAAUUAUAUCACAUAUUUCCAUCUGAGAAUAAUUGCAGAUAUGCUUAUAGCCAAAAUGUAAAACCCUCAACCUUGGCCAACUGCGGACCUCACUUUAGGAAUUCCUCUACAAACCUUCAAAUAAAUACUGAGAUCAAUCACAGCCUUAACAGAAAUAACAAAACAGAAAAUAAAUGGAUUUCAAGUCCAAAGGCAUGACUCACUACGCUCACUUUUUCAUGGUUAUUUCUUACAGGUUUUCAAGGAGUCUUUUGUGACUAAAAAAUACACCCUUAUAGCUUGCACUUUUUGCUAGUGUGACCUCCUUGUGUGACUCCUCACAGAGGCAUGCUGUAGCAGGUCGUGCUCACCUCUGUAGCCUUUUCGAAAAUACCAAAUGGCAUGAAGUGUAGAAGGCUUUUGUUGAGUCAUCUCUGAAUGGCAUAACCCAAUAUCAUCUGUACUGCAAAGUUUUUUCAUUUAUGCAUGCGUGAUCCAUGUUUUUUUUUUUUUUCCACAAGCCAACCAAACAACACCAUCCAUGAGUGGAACUUAAAUCAGCAGAAUUGAGCAUUUUGAUGCUGUAUCUGCAAUUGGGUUUGAGAACUCCGUUUAAGACACCCAGAUAAUGCAAUUGGAAUUCGAUUUUCUCUACCAUGUAACCAGCGUAGUCGGAGUAUGAUUGGACAAUGCAUGUGCACGUACGCCAUGCCUCCAUAACCCUGGAGCAAAAACACCAGAGAAGAAGUGGCACUUUUAUUUAAAUAACUUUCAACUCAGAAGCAACUGCAACAUGGCUGAAACAAGAAAGAAUGUCGACUUUUGGAACAAUAAGGAGAGUGCCGUUUUGCUUUCCGUCCUGACAGAAAUGGACAUUUUUAAGAAAAUGGACAGUCGCAAAAUGAAGAACAGAGACAUCUUUAAAAAAGUCAGAAAACAACGCCGCUGAAAAGACCCAUAUUGCCCCCUAGUUUUGGGGAGGAGGACACGUUCAUGUCAAUAAUUUGAUUUUCUCAGCAGCAGUCAAGGAUGAAAGUCCGAUUCUGCGAAAAAAAAAAACAAAUUUUGAGCUUAGUCCGAUGUACACGCACUGACUGAUUGGCCCUGAUAGGUUACUGUCUGUGUAAGAUCUGAUCCAGGAUCAGGUACUGUCCACACAAGUUACAUCCUUUAACACAACGAGGGGCAUCCUACAAAUCUAUUUCACGCAGGACAUCCCAGUUGUACCUCAACAGCAACUUUGUUUGAAACAGAUGGAUAGAUGUAAAACUUCCCUUAGUCCUCUGAUGGCUAUAAAAUGGAAUUUCACACACAUACACACAGUCCGUUUAUUUGAUUUGUAAACAGCUCAACCUGCCAAAGUUGUAAGAGCUGACUGCACAUUUCUGCAGAUGGGUGGGCACAGAAUUCACUAAAUCAGGACUGAUCAAUCUUGCACAUUUUGAAACUCAUUUGGAUGUAAAACUUCUGGCAAACCUUUUUUAUGAAUCUACAAAGCCUGUCUCCCAUUUAGAGAAGUGUCUCCAGGCUGCAAAUCAGUCUGACAUUUAAUAUAAGAGCCUUGGAUCCCUGCAGUGUCUUUAAAAGCGAGCUACUUGUUUCUCUUGAGCAUGCUAGUUUGUCUUUUAUUAGUUGUUGUAUAACAUUAUGUAUUUUAUUGCUUUCAACUGAGAGGAUUUUCUCACUAGAGCUUCUAGAAAAUCUCCUAUCAUGUGUAAAACCUUCAUGUCCACAAACAAAGCAACUUAUCUACAGCAACCAGCAGUGUAAGACUUCUCAUUCUCUUGGUUGUUGCAAAAUGAAAGAAACCCUUUUAAGAGUAAAGAAUACACUCAGAACUUCUCAAACCAACAAAAAAAGCAUCUGUAAAGACUUAGUCGUAGUGAGAGUGACCUUCAGAGAUACACAAAUCACAUUACAACUUCAAAGGCUUGAUCAAGCUUUCAUGAAUCAUUCAUAAGUCCGCGCAAUGCUACAUAAACGAUGCCAGCAGUCGUGCGGCAGUCAUUUGAGGGUGCCAGGCUUAAAUCCAGUCAUACUCUUAAAAUACAUAUGCAUGGCACUUCAAUAAAAUGUGUUAAUGGAUGCAAAGUGCCUACAGCUCUUUCUGCUAGAGUCAAAAAGCUUUAGGCAUCACAGCCUAGAGGAUCUCAUCCAAGGUGAGAUCUAAUUCUCUUCAGUGUCACUGACCCCUGCAUUGAGAUCCCCAAAUAUUGACGUUAGCUUGCAGGGGGCGAUUCUCCUAAUUAAAAAGCAGCGAUGAAACUUCGCUAACCUAAGUAGUUUCUAUGCAUUUUCAUUCCUUUUGGGAAUGAAGAAGCUUCCAGCAAACAGACUAAUUUGAUUGACCUUUGAGUCAUUGAAUCGAUUGGUAACAGAUAUGGAGAAACUUUAUAUCAAACUCGAAGGAGAUGUUUGUGUUUAUUUGCCUCCAGUAAAUUAAAAAGCAGAUUUUCAUGACAUGUUCCUUCUGCUGCAGUGAGAUGAUUUGUGUGCAGUCUGCGGUUUUGUACAACAUUAAUCAGCAGAACACUGGAAGGAUACAAGGCUAGUGUAAAUCUGAUUUCCUUGUUUUCAUUUCAGGGAGCGUGUUCACCUUUAAACUCAAUUACCUUAUCAAAAUGCUUUCUGAGGUUCAUCUUUGUGGAGGCAUCAAUCAGUAACAAACAAGGGAAAUUGUAAUUGCAUGAUGGAGCAGAGCAAGGUUACAAGGCUGUUAAUUCUCUGCUGGAAAACAAACUUAAAUCAGAGCUGGAGCAUAACGCAGGAUACAGAAGAAAAUGGUUGCUAUAUGCUGAAAGCAGCCUUAAAUCUGAGGAUUAUGUAGAAAACAGCAAUUAAUGUCAAAGUAUAUCAUAGUUUUACAGAUUUAGAAUUUAUCAAGUGUUGUAAAUUCAUGACAAUUUUGCUUGUAAGGUCCAACUGGCUGAAUCACAGGAUGAUUUAUACUUUUUAUUAAAUUGGUUUAACAGAUGGAUGCUGUCACAAAUCAGAGCCAAACACAAAUUAUUUAUUUCAGAAAGAGAGGAACUCUGAGAAGUAAGACUAUAUUUUCUUGUGAGGCUUUUAGAUAAAUGAUUAUGAAAAUCUGGAAAUGUCCUCGAUAAAUUUAUGACUCACGGAGCUAGAGUUGAACUGUUGUCUGAUUUCGCCUGAAAAGCACUGAGAUCUGUUGUCAGUAAACUACAAAUGUGAAAGAUCUUGGGUAUGCCACCAGUGCAUAUCCUCUAUUUAGAAUUGUGCUGCAGUAAUUGGAGGAUAUAAAAGAAGGGAAAGGUCAGAUGUCAAUCAAAACAUACAUAUAUGCAGUUUUUUUCAUGUAUUCAUAAAUUUGCACCUACUUUAGCUUUAGAAUCAUGGUAAUUUAUUUCUGUAAGGUUUAUAUUGUAAUUCAGGUGUCUUCUUUGGUCUCUUGUCUUUGUAGAAAUAAUGGUGUCUUGUAAGUCUAUGCUUUACACAGUUUGACGCAUCAAAUCAAGGUACAUCAACCCAAACAAAACUUUGUUGUUGUAUUAUUAGGUGUCAGGUUAUUUGAACACAUAUCUGUAUUGUUACGGAAGGACAAUAGUUGUUUUAAAGUUGAAAGAAUAUUUUUUGAAUUCAGUAAUUGGUGUUGGGGUUCUUGCUACAGUCUUCUGAAGUCCUUUGAAGAGUCUAGUCUGUGUGUUUUGGAGUCAGGUAUAAAAAGCAGUGAAAAAAAAGAAGAAAUCUCAGGAGCAGCAGGAAACCUAUUGGUAUUUAAAAUACUGCUGCCGAUCAAGUCUUGAAAAUAAAACAGGCUUUGAAAUGUUACUUUUUUCACGUUUGAAGAGUCGGUCUUAAGUUUCACAGAGUUUCAGUAAACUUUUUGACUGUAAACUUGCAAAACAUGACACUCAAGUGUGAAAAAAUGCAGUUUCGUGAGUGUCCACUUGAAGUUGACCAAAAUCCUUCCAUCAAUCCACCCGGCUGUCCAUCUGUCCACUUAGCUUUUAAUCUUGAUUACAAGCCCAAUUAAAAAAUAUUUUCUGACAUGUGAAAUAGUGAGGAAGAACUACUGAAAAGUAUUAGGGCCACAAGAAGAGAAAAAAUAAUAAUAAUUAGAGGAGGAAGAAUUUUUAAUUUCAAUUUCGAGAUUAAAGUCGGAAUUUAAAAAUGUUGAAAGUUCAACUUAAUUCAUGUCGACUUUAAUCUCGAAAUUUCGACUUUUAAUCUCAGAAUUUUAAUUUUUUUAAACUCGAAAUUUCAACAUUAUUUAUAACAUUUCGACAUUUUGUAAUCUUGAAAUUUCAACCUUAUUCUUAUUCACAACAUUUCGUAAUCUCGAAGUUUUGACUUUAUUGACAAAAUUUUGAUUUUUUAAAUCUCAAAAUUUCGACUUUAAUCUCCUUCCUGUAAUCUUUUUUUUUUCUUCUGUUCAUGUGGCCCUAAUCCUGUUUUGUAAAAAAAUAGAUAUUAUUGGUUUGUGAAUUUAUUUAAAUCCAAUUCUGAUUAUUUAAAAAAAGUCAAUAGUAAUCAUAUCAAAUGCUGAGACUGAAAAAAUGUUGCUCUGUAAAGAAUAAAGUCAAUUUUUGAUUCCAUAGAGAACUCAAGCUUUUGCCCUUUGUAUAUCUUUUUGAGGUCCUUCAGUAUAUGCUGCUCCUUAGUCGUGGGUUAACCUACUUUAAUGAGCUUUUCCUGUUACCAGCAUUAGUCUAUGGCAUCUGCCUAUUUGACACUUCUACCCAAGUGUCCUUGCUAAAAUGAUAAUAACAGUACCAACAUGUUCUUACUGCCCAGGAACGCUGCGUGCUGCAGUGUUCAGUUUUCACACAUGCAUUUUUAUCUUCCCUGUGGCUAUGAAUAAAACAGAGAGCACCUGUCAGCAAGCAGAUGUUGAAGCUGACAGCUUAAGGCAAGAUGGAAGAUUAUGGUGGGCAAGAGUAAUAAAAAAACUGUGAGUGAGCCAAAACAUGAUUAAUAUAAUUAGCUGUUUCUGUUGAAGUGAACUCUGAUCAUUAAUCAGAGGACGGCUGUUUGUGUUCAGAGAUAACCAGGUCAGGGUGACAGACCUCCCAAAGGGUUUUUCACUGGGCUGCAGAGGAUGCUAACAAGCAAAACAUCCUUCCUACAUGCGUAGCUAUUUGGCUCUCUGAUAUCUAUAUGUUGAGUGCUGAGAUUAGACAGUUCAAGUUUGUUUUCCAGCAUAACAUAUGAGCUUCAUGAGCUUUUAAAUAUGCUAAAAGGUAUGCAACUUUGAUGUUACAAAAAAGGUGAAGAGGUCCUGCUCAUUAGCUGCCGAUUUGAAACACCACAAGAGCAGCAGUGCAGAAUUGUAGAUAAUAGCUAUUAAGGUUUAAUAAGGACACCUGUUUUUUUUUUGCAGAGCCCCAAUUAAUUGUGCAGUUUUAAUCUUUAAUCAUUAUAUAUCCUGAGUCCUGUUAUGUUUGCUAAACUUUUUUAAAUAUAGACACAAUGCAAUACUUACUGUAAAAUAGUUUACUCUCUGUUUUCAAUAAAUAUCCUGACUUCAGCAGAAGUGUUAUCCUGUCUAUGGGACAAUCCAGAAUCAGUCCAAAGAACAUUUGGCAUGUGUACUAAGCAUCGUCUUGGGAAUGCAGAAUUUGAAAGUGGUGUUCUUUAAUUGUUGGUAGAGUAACAAAGGGGAAAAAAAAAAUCAUAAAAGAUACAUCUAUCAUAAUAAAGCAAAGCUAGUUUUCCUUGUAAACAUGCAAUGAAACCCAACCAAACAAAUGUAAACUCGUACCCUGGCGUUGUGACCCUUGUCUAAGACAUUUUAAUAUCUGCCCUGCUCCUCUGAUUUGCUAGGGUUUUGAUUAAAGAAGGGGUAUUGUGCAUUUUGUUUUCAGACUCUAUAUCAGCUUUACAGGAUUUUCAGAUUUUAAAAAAUGCCCUGUGUUGCUCACUCUGAUGUAUAGACGGGUUUCUUGUGUACAAACAAUACUAGGUGUGCGCGCAACCAUGGGACAAAAGCCUGCUUCGGAGUGAACUGAUAUCAAUGAAGACGCUGUAUUGUUUGCAAGUUCUCUCUGACACAAUUGCAAUAAAAUGUCAUAUCAUCGAAAAAUCCCUUUGUAUUUUAUUGCAUCAAAAUCAGAAAAACACCUGCUGAAAUAUCCAUGAAUGUCACUCAAUUUACCAGGCUGUGACGUUGUUUUAGAUGUUUCUAAUAUCAGGAGCAGGGUCGUAAUGUUUGCGGAUUGUUUGUUUUGCUGAUUCGUGCAGUUCGCAGCACAACAGCUCCUUCUCAUUUUGUUUCUUUGUUGACUCCACCAGUAAACAAAUAUGAAAUGUCCCACUUUCAACCUCAAGGCUGCGUGCGCAUACCUGCGACGACACUGUACAGAACACUUUGUUUUAGCUGCUGUCUCUUUAAGACCCACUGUCCACAAGCCUACUUUCCUCUGAUUGGCCACCUCUCCUAAGACAUACUGUAGGCUCCACCUCCUCUAUUAUGUGGGUGUCACCUCACACGCUGUUGGAGGCAGGCCGUUCCUGCGCUCUAUUUUAGUGAGUCUCGCGUUUUCUGGCAAUGUUUUCUUUCUGAGAAGUUUACAUCUAUUUUCUAGGAUUAUGACAAUAAACGUUUACCUUGUGAUUUGAAGCUUUACUGUAACUUUGCAUUUUUUGACAGGAUUUAAAUUACAAGAUAACACCACAAAGAGCUCCCAGCAUGUGGUAAUUAACACACCGGCAUAGCAUGUGUCACCUCUCAGGCUCAGCAGAUGUAAGAUGGUGCUAUCCACAUGUUACAGUAAUAACUAGCUCGUGUGUAAAACGCUGUUGCAGAAACAGUCCAACAUACUGGUUCUGAUGUUGAAUUAAGUGGUGGGCACUGUGGGAGAAUACUGUUGACACAUGACCUCUUGAGCUUUAGCCUCUUUAUGUGCUUAUAGUUUUAUUUCCCCAGUCAUGUUAAAUUACACUGCUGGUAAUUUUAGUUCCUGAUCUCUGUGAUAUUAGAGGGAAAAGGACUAGGGUUAUACAAUUUCUGUGAUUACUGCCCGACCCAUAGCCUUUAAAAACAAAGUUGGUUGUUAUCUGAAUCCAUAACAAACCAAAGAACAAAGGAGACAAGAAAAAAAAAAGAACUGGGAAACCAAAUCAGACUGAGAAGUGAUGUUUACUCUAAGCCCAAUUAGUGGAUGAGCGUAAGAGCAUUUUGAGAGGAAAAUUGGGGCCCAGUAUUACAGCUGGAGCCAAGAGGCAGGCAUAGCAUGAUAUCCAGCAGCAAAUUGGUGCCCUGUUGGCUUAGACUGGGUGCACGAGGGAGGAGUGUUAAAAGAGGUUGUAUGUGGUAGAGUCAAAGGUGAGAAAGAAGUUUGCAGUCAACAAACAGGAGUCUUCAAAUGCCCCAAAGUGCUUCGCCAUGACUCACAACUGCCAGCAAAGUUAACUAAAACACUGAAUCACGAUAUGUCUGUACUUAAGUGUUUUUUUCCACCACACCAAUGUCCCAGGUUUCUGAGACUGCCUUCAACACCCUGGAAUCAAUCUGAUGUCAGCGUCAGCAAGCUGAUGGACAGCACUGACAGCUCACAGAUGCAAACUUAGCAAAGGUUAGUUAUGUUAGUCCUUACAAACAAAAUGACAGGUAAACAAUAUGUCAAGAACCCAUUUUAUUCAAGCUAAACAUGUAAAUGUGGCAAGCUGAUCUUGAGGUUCAACACACACACAAAAAAACAAAAAAAAAUAAUAAUGAUAAUUAUCAUGGUUAUCAUCCCUCUUUCUGCAGCAUGGAACCAGAGGAACCAGAGGCUUCAUGUUGCAGCCAUAUUCAGUUGAGCCUUCCCUCUGGACCACACCCCAGCAUCAUGACUUUAAUCUUUUCCAGAAUCCACUCCUAACUUAAAGUAGAAAACGUC